AUCCAGCUGACGAGUCCCAAACAGAAUGAAACGCGCGUCAAACUUGAU
rfam:Schistosoma mansoni strain Puerto Rico chromosome 6, complete genome